GGUAAGGCAACGGGUUUUGGUCCCGCUAUUCGGAGGUUCGAAUCCUUCCGUCCCAG
rnacentral:tRNA from 46 species